rnacentral:SRP_RNA from 1 species
GGAUGGACUAGGUCGGGCAGUUAGGCCCUGCUCUGCACCCGUGAGACAGUCUUUAGCGGGGACCGAAUGCCGGGGACGUCGGGUCGAACCGACACAGGCCUCGGAAGCCAACGUCGAAACCUCGUCCACCGGGGACAGUGGACCGGUGUGCUCACCCGCAGGGGUGUCACACACUGGUUUGCCGGCGGUAGUGGGUCAGGCGCGGAAGCGAGCAGCCCACCGCUGGACACCCGUCGCUCGUUGGAUCGCGGGGUGGAGGAGGCGACCGAGAUUCCCUGUGUUUGGAACACCCGGCAAUCCCGGUGUGUCCGUCA